CAGGGAUGGCUUAUCUUUGGAUUUCACUGAUGAGGAGUUAAGGACACGAUAUCGAUUCAGCAGACGUAGUAGUUUGGUGCUCUCAGACCUUGUUAGGGAUGACUUACAGAGAGGGACACACAGAAACCAUGCAUUCACUGUGGAACAGCAAGUCAUGGUUACACUAAAAUUUUUAGCCAGUGGAAGUUUCCUACAAGUUGUUGGAGACACACUUGGGUUGGACAAAGGCACAGUGUCAAGGGUUGUAAAGGACACCACAGCUGCAUUGUGUAGGAGACAGAACGAGUUUAUUAAAUGGCCAAGAAGUGAUGUAGAAUAAUAAAAUAAAGGCUGGGAAUUUCAGAAUUGGAGGGUUUCCCAAUGUAAUUGGAGCCAUUGAUGGUACACAUGUACGAAUACAGGCACCUACCACUGAUGAGGCAUCAUAUGUUAACAGGAAAGGGUACCAUAGCAUCAAUGUGCAGGCCGUGUGUGAUGCAGAUGGAAAAUUUACAAAUAUCAACACAUCCUGGCCAAGAAAUGCACACGAUGCACACAUCUUCAGAACUUCACAGGUAUGUACACACAUGGAAAAGACACCUAACUGGGAAAGUUGCAUCUUAUUUGGGGAUAGUGGAUAUCCAUGCCGCCCAUUCAUCAUGACGCCUUAUGCCCGUCCUGCAAAUGAAGACC